rnacentral:lncRNA from 1 species
CCUCCCUAUUCCCUGAGACACAACAGUAUUGAAAUUGGGCCAAUUAAUAAUCCCACAGUGGCCUCUCACUAAAUGUGAGAGGUGAGGAAGCUGCAGGAGAAAAUUUGAAGCUAGCAGUGUUCAUGAGAUGUAAGUAAAGAAGCCAUCUCCAUAAAAGUACAACGUGACGCAGCAAAUGUUGAUGGAGAAGCUGUAGAAGUUACACAGAAGAUCUAGCUUGGACCAUCGAUGAAAGUGGCUACACUAAACAACAGAUUUUAAAUGUAGAUAAAAUAGCAUUUUAUUGGAAAAAGAUGCCAUCUAGGACUUUCAUAGUUAGAAAAACUCAAUGCCUGGAUUCAAAGGACAAGCUGACUCUUGUCAGGGGCUAGUGCAGCUGUGACUUUCAGUUAAAGCCAAUGCCCAUGGACUAUUCUGAAAAUCCCAGGGCCCUUAAGAUAUGCUGUAUAAACGCAACAACAAAGCCUGGAUGACGUUGGGUCUGUUUACAGCCUGGUCUACUGAGUAAGCCCACUGUUGAGACCUAGUGCUCAGAAAAAAUAGAUUUCUUUCAAAAUAUGGCUGGGUGCAGUGGCUCACACCUGUAAUCCCAGCACUUUGGGAGGCUGGAGCGGGUGGAUUGCUUGACGCCAGGAGUUCAAGACCAGCCUGGGCAACAUGGUGAAACCCUGUCUCAAAAAACAAAUCAAAAAACCAAAAUAUUGCUACUCAUUAACAAUGCACCUGGUUACCCAAGAGCUCUGAUGGAGAUGUACAAGGAGAUGAAUACUGUUUUCAUGCCUGCUAACACAGUAUCCAUUCUGCUGCCGAUAGAUCAAGGAGUACUUUUGACUUUCAAAACUUAUUAUUUAAGAAAUACAUUUUGUGGUUUCUCUGAUGGUUCUGGGCAGUCAGUUCAAAACCUUCUGGAAAGGAUUCACCAUUCUAGAUGCCAUCAAGAGCAUUCAAUUCACGGGAGGAGGUCAAAAUAUCAACAUUAAUUGGAAUUUGGAAGAAAUAGAUUCCAAUCCUCAUGGAGGACUUGGAGGGUUUCAAGACUUCAGAGGAGGAAAGAACUGUAGAUGGGCUGAAAAUAGCAAGAGAACUAGAAGUGGAGGGGCCUAGAGAUGUGACCGAAUUGCUGUAAUCUCAGGAUCAAACUUGUAUGGAUGAGAAGUUCCUUCUCAUGGACGAGCAAAGAAGGUGAUUUCUUGAAAUGGAAUCUACUCCUGGUGAAGAUGCUAUGAACAUUGUUGAAAUGACAAAAGAUUUAGAAUAUUCCAUAAACUUAGCUGUGGCCAGGGUUUGAGAGGAUUGACUCCUAAUUUUGAAAAGUUCUACUGUGGGUAAAUGCUGUCAAACAGCAUUGCAUGCUACAGAGGAAUCUUUCAUGAAAGAGUUAAUAAAUGCAGCAAACUUCACUGUUGUCUUACUUUAAGAAAUUGCCACAGUCACUGCAGGCUUCAGCAACUUAUCUUUUCCUACCCUCCUCUCGCAUUUAAAAGUACUUUUAAUGUAUGUACAUUAUUUUUAGGCAUAACACUGCUGCUCAUUUAAAAAAACUACAGUAUGAACCAUGUUAUAUGCAGUGGAAAGCCAAAAACUUCAUGUGACUUACUUGCUUGUAUUUGGUUUAUUGCAGUGGUCUGGAACUGAAAGUGAUGGGUAUUUCUGAGUUAUGCCUGUAUUUAAGAAGCUGAGUGAAACCCAAAGAAGUCCAUGAUAGGACAGACUUCUGAAAACUAAAGACAGAAAAAAGCUUGAAAGCAUCAAGAAAGAAGUGAAAUCUUAACUAGAGGGAAAAGUAACUUAGAUGACAGUGGAUUUCUCUCUGGAAACCAUGGAGGCCAGAAGGAAGUGAGACAAGUUCUUUUAGUGCCAGAAGAACUAUCAACUUGUGGCUGGGCACGGUGGCUCACGCCUGUAAUCCCAGCACUUUGGGAGACCAAGGUGGGCAGAUCACUUGAAGUCAGGAGUUUGAGACCAGCCUGGCCAACAUGGCGAAACCCUGUCUCUACUAAAAAUACAAAAAUUAGCCAGGCAUGGUGGCGCAUGCCUGUAAUCUCAGCUACUUGGGAGGCUGAGGCACGAGAAUUACUUGAACCCGGGAGUGGAGGUUGCAGUGAGACAAGAUCCUGCCACUGCACUCCAGCCUGGGCAACAGAGCAAGACUGCCUCAAAACAAAACUCUGUCAACUCCAAAUUCCUAUUUGGUGAAAUGAUCCUUCAGGAGUGAUGGGGUAAUAAAAACAUUCUCGGUUGAUAGGAAACUAAAAGAAUUUGUUGAAUGAGUCUACCCUAUAGACCUUGAAUAGACCAACCCUAAAGGAAGUUCUUGAACCAGAAAGGAAAUGUUUAAAAAAAAAAAGUUUUGGGAUGUCAGGAAGAACGAUGGAAACAGCAAAAAUACGGGGGAUUUUACUCACUUUGGGACAAAAGCAAUAUAGUAGCAUCUUUUCACUGACCAAGGUAACCAGAGUGUUGAUCAGAUCACACUGAUACCUACAAGUGGCCAAAAUUAAAUGAGAAGCAUGGGGGGAGGUGCCAGGAAGUGGCAGGGGUAUAGAGUGUGAGAGAGAACAGAUGCAUGUGAGUGUGGUGUGAUGAGGGAAGCAGCUCAAGAGCUGACACCUAAACCCAGAAUAAUUUCAGAGGUGAAAAAUUACCACCUCUCUUACUAGUGACAUUGAAGAGAAAAAAAAAUUAGGGUUUUUCACUGAUAUGUUACUAGCAUUUAGGCAAAAACACAACAGAA